rnacentral:rRNA from 1 species
UACGUAGGGUGCGAGCGUUAAUCGGAAUUACUGGGCGUAAAGCGUGCGCAGGCGGUUCGUUAAGACAGAUGUGAAAUCCCCGGGCUUAACCUGGGAACUGCAUUUGUGACUGGCGAGCUAGAGUAUGGCAGAGGGAGGUAGAAUUCCACGUGUAGCAGUGAAAUGCGUAGAGAUGUGGAGGAAUACCGAUGGCGAAGGCAGCCUCCUGGGCCAAUACUGACGCUCAUGCACGAAAGCGUGGGGAGCAAACAGG